AGAGUUUGAUCCUGGCUCAGGACGAACGCUGGCGGCGUGCCUAACACAUGCAAGUCGAACGGGGUUAUUCCUUUCGGGGGAUAACUUAGUGGCGAACGGGUGAGUAACGCGUGAGAAACCUGCCUUUCAGUGGGGGACAACAGUUGGAAACGACUGCUAAUACCGCAUGAUACUGUCGGAGGGCAUCCUUUGACAGUCAAAGCUUUAUGUGCUGAAAGAUGGUCUCGCGUCUGAUUAGCUAGAUGGCGGGGUAACGGCCCACCAUGGCGACGAUCAGUAGCCGGUCUGAGAGGAUGAACGGCCACAUUGGGACUGAGAUACGGCCCAGACUCCUACGGGAGGCAGCAGUGGGGAAUAUUGGGCAAUGGGCGAAAGCCUGACCCAGCAACGCCGCGUGAAGGAAGAAGGCCUUCGAGUUGUAAACUUCUUUUACCAGGGACGAAGGACGUGACGGUACCUGGAGAAAAAGCCACGGCUAACUACGUGCCAGCAGCCGCGGUAAUACGUAGGUGGCAAGCGUUGUCCGGAUUUUCUGGGUGUAAAGGGCGUGUAGGCCGGACCUGUAAGUCAAAUGGGAAAAUCCCGGGGCUCCACCCCGGGAACUGCAUUUGAAACUGCAGUCCUUGAGUAUCGGAGAGGCAAGCGGAAUUCCUAGUGUUAGCGGUGAAAUGCGUAGAUAUUAGGAGGAACACCAGUGGCGAAGGCGGCUUGCUGGACGACAACUGACGCUGAGGCGCGAAAGCGUGGGGAGCAAACAGGAUUAGAUACCCUGGUAGUCCACGCUGUAAACGAUGAAUACUAGGUGUGGGGGGACUGACCCCCUCCGUGCCGCAGUUAACACAAUAAGUAUUCCACCUGGGGAGUACGACCGCAAGGUUGAAACUCAAAGGAAUUGACGGGGGCCCGCACAAGCAGUGGAUUAUGUGGUUUAAUUCGACGCAACGCGAAGAACCUUACCAGGAUUUGACAUCCAACUAACGAAGUAGAGAUACAUUAGGUGCCCUUCGGGGAAAGUUGAGACAGGUGGUGCAUGGUUGUCGUCAGCUCGUGUCGUGAGAUGUUGGGUUAAGUCCCGCAACGAGCGCAACCCCUAUUGUUAGUUGCUACGAAAGAGCACUCUAGCGAGACUGCCGUUGACAAAACGGAGGAAGGUGGGGACGACGUCAAAUCAUCAUGCCCCUUAUGUCCUGGGCUACACACGUAAUACAAUGGCGUUCAACAAAGGGAAGCAAAGCCGCGAGGUGGAGCAAAUCCCCAAAAGGCGUCUCAGUUCGGAUUGCAGGCUGCAACUCGCCUGCAUGAAGCUGGAAUUGCUAGUAAUCGUGGAUCAGCAUGCCACGGUGAAUACGUUCCCGGGCCUUGCACACACCGCCCGUCA
rnacentral:rRNA from 1 species